rnacentral:rRNA from 1 species
UACGUAGGGUGCAAGCGUUAAUCGGAAUUACUGGGCGUAAAGCGUGCGCAGACGGUUAUGUAAGACAGAGGUGAAAUCCCCGGGCUCAACCUGGGAACUGCCUUUGUGACUGCAUAGCUGGAGUGCGGCAGAGGGGGAUGGAAUUCCGCGUGUAGCAGUGAAAUGCGUAGAUAUGCGGAGGAACACCGAUGGCGAAGGCAAUCCCCUGGGCCUGCACUGACGCUCAUGCACGAAAGCGUGGGGAGCAAACAGG